rnacentral:lncRNA from 1 species
UCUUUCUAAAACCCUAGAGAGAGAAGCUCCCACUUCUCUCUACAAAUCUCGCCGGAGAAGAAGGUGGGGGAGGAGCGGCCGGAGCAGCUCCAGCGUGGUGGUCGGCCGGAGCGCCGCCGCGUUGGAGUUUUUUUUGCUUUUUUUUCGAAUUUUUUUUUUACAUCAAAACACUCCUCUUCCCUUCCUCUACUCGAAUCCGGACCCAUUAUUUCGAAAACAUGUGCCAAACAUCCUAGAUCUACAAAUGAAAGUGUGAAAGUUUUUACCUCUUUUUCCGAUGCGGUUCCGUUUCCUACUUGCUCCGGUUCGGUUCUUUCUUGCCUUGCUCCGGUUCGGUUCUGCUCUCUUUUCCGGUUCGCCUCUUCCUCUUUUUUCCGGUUCGGUUCUUCCUUGGUUUGGGAUGAUGAUGAUUUGUGGUUGUAUGGGCUGAUUUGAGGUUUUGUUUAAGUUUUGUGUUGCUGGAUUUUGAUGAAUCUAUGAAUGUUCUUCAUGAGUUCAUGUUAUUUCUUUGUAAUUUUAGUGUUUGAUCUGAAAACUGGUUGGAAAAAUGGAAAAAAUAGGGUUUGUGAAUUGAUGCUGAUUUUUUUUUGACGUGAUUAGUGAUUUUUUUUUUGGCCCCAUUUCUCAAUGAUUGACAGUGUAUUUAUAGAGACAAACUAGGGUUGGCUCAGGCACAGAACUAAUACCAAAAUGCCCCUGCUGAAAACUUGGAGACAAAGUUUAAUCAAAUAAAAGAUAAUAAUAAUAAUAAUAAUAAUAAUAAUAAAAUAAAAGAAAGGAGGAAAGAAAAGAGGGAAGGGUCACGUGAGUGACUCCCCUUUCUUUGUUGUUUUUUUCCUUUUUUUUUUCAAAGAAAAAUAAUAAAAAUGACAUAAUAAUAAACAAAACAAAAAAAAAGAAAAGUAAAAAUGACAAAUAAAUGAGUUUUAAAUGGUAAAAGAAAACGAGUAAAAAAUUUUAAACGGGCCAAAUUUGGGGUAUGACAGAUGCCCCUAUUUAAGUUUGUUCGUCAUGAAGGUUUUGAAAGGGAAACUUUUAAACCAAAGGGGUCGAAGAGACUUAAAUACAUAAAAACGCCAAUUUUGGACCGUUUGAAAUGCCAGGGAUGUGAUGCUGAUGAAUGUGAUGAUAUGACUGAACAUGAUGCAAGUAUGAAUGUAAAGAUAAUGCAUAAAGACUGACUGGGGUUCAAUUGGAUAGGUAUCACUGGGGAAAGAACUGAUAAAUAAUGCUUAAAGUCGCCGUGAGAUAGCUUGAAACGACUAGAGUAUGAACGAUGAUGUUUAUUAACGUUGCUUCAAGAUAAAGUAAGGAUAUGAUUAGCCGACGAGUGGCGGAAUUAAAGACAUGAUUAGCCGACGAGUGGCGACAGUAAAGACAUGAUUUAGCCGACGAGUGGCGAAAGUAAAGACAUGAUAGGCGACGAGUGGCGAAAGUAAAGACAUGAUUAGCCGACGAGUGGCGAAAGUAAAGACAUGAUUAGCCGACGAGUGGCGAAAGUAAAGACAUGAUUUAGCCGACGAGUGGCGAAAGUAAAGACAUGAUUUAGCCGACGAGUGGCGAAAGUAAAGACAUGAUUAGCCGACGAGUGGCGAAAGUAAAGACAUGAUUAGCCGACGAGUGGCGAAAGUAAAGACAUGAUUAGCCGAGUGGCGAAAGUAAAGACAUGAUUUAGCCGACGAGUGGCGAAAGUAAAGACAUGAUUAGCCGACGAGUGGCGAAAGUAAAGACAUGAUUAGCCGACGAGUGGCGAAAGUAAAGACAUGAAAGUAAAGACAUGAUUAGCCGACGAGUGGCGAAAGUAAAGACAUGAUUAGCCGACGAGUGGCGAAAGUAAAGACAUGAUUAGCCGACGAGUGGCGAAAGUAAAGACAUGAUUUAGGCGACGAGUGGCGAAAGUAAAGACAUGAUUUAGCCGACGAGUGGCGAAAGUAAAGACAUGAUUAGCCGACGAGUGGCGAAAGUAAAGACAUGAUUUAGCCGACGAGUGGCGAAAGUAAAGACAUGAUUUAGCCGACGAGUGGCGAAAGUAAAGACAUGAUUAGCCGACGAGUGGCGAAAGUAAAGACAUGAUUAGCCGACGAGUGGCGAAAGUAAAGACAUGAUUAGCCGAGUGGCGAAAGUAAAGACAUGAUUUAGCCGACGAGUGGCGAAAGUAAAGACAUGAUUAGCCGACGAGUGGCGAAAGUAAAGACAUGAUUAGCCGACGAGUGGCGAAAGUAAAGACAUGAAAGUAAAGACAUGAUUAGCCGACGAGUGGCGAAAGUAAAGACAUGAUUAGCCGACGAGUGGCGAAAGUAAAGACAUGAUUAGCCGACGAGUGGCGAAAGUAAAGACAUGAUUUAGGCGACGAGUGGCGAAAGUAAAGACAUGAUUUAGCCGACGAGUGGCGAAAGUAAAGACAUGAUUAGCCGACGAGUGGCGAAAGUAAAGACAUGAUUAGCCGACGAGUGGCGAAAGUAAAGACAUGAUUUAGCCGACGAGUGGCGAAAGUAAAGACAUGAUUAGCCGACGAGUGGCGAAAGUAAAGACAUGAUGGACCGACAGGGUUUGCUAACAUUGUGGGAUAGCGCACACACGGUAAAAAAAUAAAGGCAAGACAGACCAUUAGCAUUUGCUAAAAGCAAAGCCUCCGGUGAAAGUAAAGACAAUGUAAAGCUUGGUAUCAGGGGAGUGACUUGAUAAAGAUAAAGUUGAAGGGAACAAGGAAUUUGUCUAAAGACAAAGGGGAAUUGUAUAGACUGAUUACUGGUGAGACCUGCCACAUGUUUGAUUUGAUGAUAUUUUGGAGUUAGACACACUGGGGGUGAUAUCUAAGGAUAUUGAAAUAAGUCAUUGGGUAAAAAUGCAACUAUGUAUGAAUGAUAUUUAUAUGCGUGCUAUGUAUGCAUGAAUGAAUGAGUAUGUAUGAGACUCAUAUGACGGCAUAAUGGUAAGAUUGUUGAGGUAGGACUAGGCAGGUCUACAAGGAGAACGGCCCGGCAUCACUGGACGAACACUCGAAACCUUCAUUGGGGAUAAAGCCACGGGGAAUGAAUCAACCAUUGUUGGGGUACAGCCCUUAAACAUACUGCUGGGGUAAGUCCUCACAAACCGGGGAAGAAGUCGCCAUUUCACCAAUGCAACACCGUAUUGUCUUGUCUGAAUAGUCAUUGCUUUUUGUAUAUAUUUUUGAAGUCCCUAACUUUUGCCUGGAUCGUCCUUUCGGAUUUUGGAUCCACCGGGGAGGUAUUUUUUUUUUUUUUUUUUUUUUUUUUUUUGACAGAGGUCAUCUCUCAGCUUUUGGUCAUGCCAACCUUGCAGAGUUUAACUGUCUUUGAGACGGAUGAUGAUGUAUGUUUCACCCACUCAUAAAUUCAAAGAAGAUGUACUUGUUGUUUAUGCUUUUCAGAAGACAUGAUAAAAGUUUUUUUUUUUUUUUUUUUUAAAAGAUUUUUUUUGAAUUUUUUUGCUUUAGGUAUUAACAUCAAAAAUAGAAGAAAAAUUUGCAAACAGAAUAAAUGAGAAUUUUAAAUAAAUGGGCACAAGCUCAAGUUAAUGUAAAUGGAAUGGUGGCCUGCCAAAGGCGUGGUUCCACAGAUUUUAAAAGUUUGGAAAAAUGGUAAUUAUAUGGAAAAGGUACGUUGAACACAAUAACCACUGUUUCCUCUACCAACUUUGAAUUCCACUGUUUUGAGUCUUUGAUUUGCAGACGCUUCAGAUCGGAAGCCCUUUAACAGCUAAGAUGCCCCAGAUGAAUCAUAUCUGAUUUGAUGCAAUUACCUUGCCAUGAGUCGGAGGUCUUUUGACGGCUGAAAUGCCCCAUAUGAGUCAUGUCCGACCAGAUGCAGUUACUUUGUCAUGAUCCUUAACUUUUGCAUAGAUCGCCUUUGCGGGUUUCAACCUAUCAGGAUAAUCAUUUUUUUUUUAUAUGUCUCUAACUUUUGCAUGGGCCGCCCUUUUGGAUUUUCAGUCCAUCGAGACGCUCUUUUUUUGCCUAAGCCGCCUUUUCCGGUUUGCGACUUAUCGAGCUUUUUUCAUUUUAACAAAGUAUUUCUUGACUGCAUCGGUAUUCACAGGACAUACAAGUUUAACCUCAUGCUUUGUAUUAGGCAUUCAUUGCUCCUGGAGCUUGUUUAAAUCAGAUAGCAUAACUUUUGAGCACAAGGCCACUCUCUUGACAUUCAUGGGGACGAGCCUUCUCUUGUUGAAAACAUGCUUUUGAUACAAUUGUUCACGCCAUACGGCAAUAACACUUUUAAUUUCAAUCAAGCUUAGCUUUCAUUGGAACUCCCUUUGACGGGACUUUGACCUUCAUGUGAGGCAUUGCCUUUAUGUUGUAUACUGAGGGAUGGAGGGGGGGUUGCCCCUGCUGAAGUGUUCACUUGAAGUACAAUAUCCUUGCAAGGAAAAUGGUGGCAUCUCGUGCCAGUCUUUGUACAUGAAAGUCCUCUUCUAGACAAUCUCUUUUGAUAUUUGCAGCUUCGACGGCCAAGAUGCCCCAGUAGGCGAGAAAUCUCAGUGGAAGCUUCUUCAUCAUCCUCUUAUUCAGCCUCGGAUACAAGAAACUCAAGGUCGAGAGGGAGUAUAUGAUUAAAGUGUUCAACGGGUUUAUUAAUGCAUGAUUUGAUUAUUGAUAUAAACAUUAUGAUUAUGCAGAUAUGUGGAAAUGAUUUAAAGAAAAAAGAUUCUUUUUUGUUUUUGUUUUUUGUAUUACCAUUUUUCCAGAAAAAGCACAAAAUAAAACAAAGUCGGGAUCAAGCGACCUUUUCAUUAAUGAUGAAAAUACGAAAAGCAUAGAGCCCUAAACAAGUUCACUUCCGUCUCGGGUGGGACGAAAGGAUUAAAAAAAAAACAUAAAGCAAUAAACAAACAUAUUAAUUGAACAAAAGAGUAGUAGAAAUAAACAUUAACCAAUACCAAAUUGCAACUAAACACUCCACAUGCCACCACAAGGUCCAAAGAUCCGAUAAAGGAUUAACUUGCACAUUCAGAUCCAAACUCUUCGAAAGGUAUGAGAUCGUCUUCAAUCAGUUUCUGGACCGCAAUCUUCAAAGAAAAACAGCGCUCAACAUCAUGACCUUGUGCCCCUUGAUAGAAAACACAAAAGAGAUCAGGUCUCCAUCGAGCCGGCAAUUUCUUCGGUAUCGGAGGAGGUGGCCUGGUUUGGACAAGGUUCCUCUCAAGCAAAUAGGGAGGCAACUUUGCAUAUUUAAUUGGAAUCGGAUCAAAUUUAAUUCUUGGAGCCUGUUGUCGAGGCUGUUGUUGAUAUUGCUGAAACUGGGGCUGAUAACCCGGAUUGCAGACAACAUUCAUGAUGGGCAAAACAGUGGUAACAGAGUGAGAAUCCAGAUACUGUUGUUGACUUGGUCGAAACUGGGGUUGAUAACCCGGAUCUUGAACAACAUUGGUGAUGGGUCUAACAGCGGCAACAGAGUGAGGAGCUAGAUGUUGUUGUUGAAGUAGCACUUUUAUAUCUUGGUCAUCGAAGGACCAGACGUUAUUUUCAAUCAACUUCUGAACUUCUUCUUUCAAAGGGUAGCACUGCUCAGUGUCAUGACCUGGUGCCCCUUGAUGGAAUACACAGUUGAGGUCAGGGCGAUACCAAGGUGGCAGCGAAUUCGGCACCCGAGGAAGUGGUAGGGUUUGAACAAGGUUCUUCUUAAGCAAAAUGGGAAGCAAAUCCGCAUAUUUCACAGGAAUCGGGUCACACUGAGAUGCUUUUUGGACCUGAUUUUGCGGAAUGAACUUCUGAGGAACCUGAUUCUGAGGGAUAGACUGCCGAGGAGCCUGUUGUCGAGGCUUUUGAGGGCACAUUGACUGAUAUGGUGAUUGAGGCCUUUGUUGGACAAGCGGUGGAUCGUUUGUAGCCAUCAAUGAAGAUACAAGGCUAGUUAACUUCUCUACUUCAGCCCUAAGUGUUGUUACCUCUCCACGAAGCUCAUGAACCUCUUGCUCAAGCCGGUCCAUUUUUCCUGUUUGCACGAGUGUCUGCAUGUGUGAGCCGAACUUGGAUGAAGACAUCUGACCACUUUACUAAUGGAUGGACCUUUUUAUGGAGAAGACACAGUGUGAGAUACAGACUAGAAACUAUGAAUGCAAAAUGAUGCAUGAUAUAUGUAUGCAAAAAUGUAUGUUUUUUUUUUUGAAGGACUAAUCAAAGUUACUUUGUAAACAUGGUUUCAUUUGAAAAUUGUGAAGAUAUUGCAAAAGGUAAGAUCAAAACCAAGGAAAAAGUUCUUAACAAAAGUUAAAACUUAGUUAAGAUUUUUUUGAAGUUGUAUCUCUUGGUGUUCAUCCUUACAAGGUCCAUACCCAUGAUGUUUGCAAAAAAACUUGUGUAAGUCCUUCAAUUUUUGAUGGAAAAAGUAGUUUAUGAAUGAAUGCAUGUAUGCAUGGUUAUGCUAAAGUACAUAGAAUACAUGGUGAUGUUAAGUCCACAUGUUGGAGUCGAGGGUAACAACGCCAUUUGGUAAGGACUAUGGUUUCAAAUGUACCUGUAUCACGGGUUCUGCCAAGGUUCCCAAAGUCCUCAACCACUUCCGAAUAUUCUCGGAUACCGAGAAAACACCCGGUCCGACAACGUUCGUAGAAAAGUCUCAUUUGAGUGUAGUAUCGCGUAUCGACUAAUUCCGAGAAAACACCCGGUUAGCCACCGCACUACGUCCUAAAAGGCCAAGAUGGGUUAAGGGUUACCAAAAGUUCUUAGCUUCAUUGGAAAAUUAAAAGUAAUAAAGUCUAAACGUGAAAACACACGCCGACAUUUAUUACUUCAAUCUCCUUUGCUAAGUGUGGUUAUCUCACGUGUGACAAGACACGAGUAUACUCUCGGUAUGCCACUAUGAGUCUACCACUCCUAUCUUACAUUUCCCUCAAGCUCGGGUGUAGAGCUUAUUUUCUCACCCCUCACGUAAUAAGGUAAACAUAUAAGCAAAUAUUUACAAGAUAUAAACAAAUAAUAAAGCACAAAAUAAAGAAAGUAAGGUGGGUUUAACCCGCAUAGGACCUAAAUCCCCAGUGAAGUCGCCAUUCUGUGCUCCUUGAUUUUCGGAUAUCAAACCUUUAAUUGAUUUGAAUCGUCGAUCUUUGAACUCUCGAUUCUUAUUCUUGGGAAGGGAAAAAAUGAGUAAAAACCCUUUUCGAAACUUUGGAUUCGGGGGUUGGUUAUGCGAAGGGAAGGUGCUAGCACCCUAAGCAUCUACGAUAUUCCGUAGGAACCUCUUACCUAAAUUAUCUUGUGCUAAACUACUUGUUCAUUUGAAAAAUUAUUGCCUAAUGUCUAAGUGAAAGAAUGGAGGGAGAAGAAGUAUGUUUUUGGUUAUUUUUAUUUGAUUUGGAAGAACAAGUCCUCUGCCUACGUACCCUUUUGGGAAAGGGAUCAAAACCGACGUAGUUCCACUCAAAAAUUUCUUUAGUGGAUUAGGUUGAUUUUAAGAUUUUUCGAAAUAGGUUUUAAGAAGAGAAAGAGGCCUCAAGGCAUGAGAUAAAAGAAAUGAGUGAGGUUAAUUGAUUUUAAAUUUUGAAAAUGAUUGAAGUUGAAUUAAAAUUGAUUGAGAGUUUGAUUAAGAAAAUAAAGGAAAAAUGUUAUUAAGAAAAUGAUUUUUGAAGUUUUGCAUAUUUGACUUUUUUGAGAAAAUGAUUUUUCUAAACUAACGUAACGUCAUAAAAACUAAAGGAAAGCGAUAAAUAAAAUGUGGUAGUGUCGGUGCAAGUGUCGGUGCUUGUGUUACCUACAUUAUUACAUCAAUUCCUAAAUACAACCCUAAGGCCUUUAUGCCAAAAUAAAAAUGCAAGAAAUAAAAUUACAUCAAUUUCCUAUUUAUACACACUAAGUCAAUGACAAAAUAAAAUGAUGGGAAAAUUAAAGGUGCAUGCUAUGAUUCAAGACAAAAAUUAAAUAGUUAGUAAUCACAAGAAAUAUUAUGAUGAAUGAGACAUACGAAAUAAUAAGCAAGAAUUAAGACAAAUAAUAAUUAAGAUCAUCAUAUAAGAAAUAGAUAAAAAAAAAAAAAAAUUAAAAGGAAACAAUUAGGAUGGAUUUUUAAAAUUAGAGAAAAUUAAAAUAGUGAGAAAAAUAUUUUUUAGAAUUUUUCUAAACACAAAAAUGCCAAAAAGUGUAAAAAACAGUAUUUAAAAAACAAAGAUAAUUAAAAAUAAGAAAUAAUAAAACAUUGGCUCAGCAGGAUUAAUUCUGGACCAUUGGAUUAAAUCAAUGGUCCAGAUUCAGUCACUGGAUUCAUCACGGCCAUUGGAUCCAACGAUCCAAGAGUCACAAAAACAACAUAGAAACAAAGGGAUUAUACUGAAAACACAGUGACCGUCAGAUCAACGAUCUGACGGUCCAAACAGAAACCACACCACACUCACGCAGAAAAAACACCCACCUGAUCCAAGAUCAAGGUACACAGGAGCCCUCAGAUCAAGGAAUGGUCCAGAUCCAAGGGCUGUAACGCGAUGGAGCACUGAAUUGCAGUAUGCGCAUAUGCACAAGACCAAACCAAAAAAAGAAAGCACUAUAAAAUGGUUUUAACAAAAAAAAACACAACACAAAUCACACAAUAACCUCUUUCUAAAACCCUAGAGAGAGAAGCUCCCACUUCUCUCUACAAAUCUCGCCGGAGAAGAAGGUGGGGGAGGAGCGGCCGGAGCAGCUCCAGCGUGGUGGUCGGCCGGAGCGCCGCCGCGCUGGAGUUUUUUUUGCUUUUUUUUCGAAUUUUUUUUUUACAUCAAAACACUCCUCUUCCCUUCCUCUACUCGAAUCCGGACCCAUUAUUUCGAAAACAUGUGCCAAACAUCCUAGAUCUACAAAUGAAAGUGUGAAAGUUUUUACCUCUUUUUCCGGUGCGGUUCCGUUUCCUACUUGCUCCGGUUCGGUUCUUUCUUGCCUUGCUCCGGUUCGGUUCUGCUCUCUUUUCCGGUUCGCCUCUUCCUCUUUUUUCCGGUUCGGUUCUUCCUUGGUUUGGGAUGAUGAUGAUUUGUGGUUGUAUGGGCUGAUUUGAGGUUUUGUUUAAGUUUUGUGUUGCUGGAUUUUGAUGAAUCUAUGAAUGUUCUUCAUGAGUUCAUGUUAUUUCUUUGUAAUUUUAGUGUUUGAUCUGAAAACUGGUUGGAAAAAUGGAAAAAAUAGGGUUUGUGAAUUGAUGCUGAUUUUUUUUUGACGUGAACAGUGAUUUUUUUUUUGGCCCCAUUUCUCAAUGAUUGACAGUGUAUUUAUAGAGACAAACUAGGGUUGGCUCAGGCACAGAACUAAUACCAAAAUGCCCCUGCUGAAAACUUGGAGACAAAGUUUAAUCAAAUAAAAGAUAAUAAUAAUAAUAAUAAUAAUAAUAAAAUAAAAGAAAGGAGG